rnacentral:sRNA from 1 species
GGAUCGGGCCUUUCAGGCAUCCUCUCCUUAACCUUUUCGGGCUGGCCUUCGGGUCAGCCCUUUUUUUUGUUCGUG